rnacentral:rRNA from 1 species
GAGGAAUAUUGGUCAAUGGACGAGAGUCUGAACCAGCCAAGUAGCGUGAAGGAUGACUGCCCUAUGGGUUGUAAACUUCUUUUAUACGGGAAUAAAGUUAGCCACGUGUGGCUUUUUGUAUGUACCGUAUGAAUAAGGAUCGGCUAACUCCGUGCCAGCAGCCGCGGUAAUACGGAGGAUCCGAGCGUUAUCCGGAUUUAUUGGGUUUAAAGGGAGCGUAGGCGGGUUGUUAAGUCAGUUGUGAAAGUUUGCGGCUCAACCGUAAAAUUGCAGUUGAUACUGGCGACCUUGAGUGCAACAGAGGUAGGCGGAAUUCGUGGUGUAGCGGUGAAAUGCUUAGAUAUCACGAAGAACUCCGAUUGCGAAGGCAGCUUACUGGAUUGUAACUGACGCUGAUGCUCGAAAGUGUGGGUAUCAAACAGGAUUAGAUACCCUGGUAGUCCACACAGUAAACGAUGAAUACUCGCUGUUGGCGAUAUACGGUCAGCGGCCAAGCGAAAGCAUUAAGUAUUCCACCUGGGGAGUACACCGGCAACGGUGAAACUCAAAGGAAUUGACGGGGGCCCGCACAAGCGGAGGAACAUGUGGUUUAAUUCGAUGAUACGCGAGGAACCUUACCCGGGCUUAAAUUGCAACUGACUGAACCGGAAACGGUUCUUUCUUCGGACAGUUGUGAAGGUGCUGCAUGGUUGUCGUCAGCUCGUGCCGUGAGGUGUCGGCUUAAGUGCCAUAACGAGCGCAACCCUUAUCGAUAGUUACUAGCAGGUCAUGCUGAGGACUCUAUUGAGACUGCCGUCGUAAGAUGUGAGGAAGGUGGGGAUGACGUCAAAUCAGCACGGCCCUUACGUCCGGGGCUACACACGUGUUACAAUGGGGGGUACAGAAGGCAGCUACACGGCGACGUGGUGCUAAUCCCGAAAGCCUCUCUCAGUUCGGAUUGGAGUCUGCAACCCGACUCCAUGAAGCUGGAUUCGCUAGUAAUCGCGAAUCAGAAUGUCGCGGUGAAUACGUUCCCG